rnacentral:rRNA from 1 species
AUAUAUGAUUCACAUACCAGUCUGAAAGUGCCUGAUCUCGUCAGAUCUCAGAAGUCAUGCAGACUUGGGCCUGCUUAGUACUUGUAUGGGAGACCAACUAGGAACCUCAGGAAGCCGUAUACU